GAUGAACGCUGGCGGCGCGCCUAACACAUGCAAGUCGAACGGCACCCCUCCUCGGAGGGAAGCGAGUGGCGAACGGCUGAGUAACACGUGGAGAACCUGCCCCCUCCCCCGGGAUAGCCGCCCGAAAGGACGGGUAAUACCGGAUACCCCGGGGUGCCGCAUGGCACCCCGGCUAAAGCCCCGACGGGAGGGGAUGGCUCCGCGGCCCAUCAGGUAGACGGCGGGGUGACGGCCCACCGUGCCGACAACGGGUAGCCGGGUUGAGAGACCGACCGGCCAGAUUGGGACUGAGACACGGCCCAGACUCCUACGGGAGGCAGCAGUGGGGAAUCUUGCGCAAGGGGGGGAACCCUGACGCAGCGACGCCGCGUGCGGGACGGAGGCCUUCGGGUCGUAAACCGCUUUCAGCAGGGAAGAGUCAAGACUGUACCUGCAGAAGAAGCCCCGGCUAACUACGUG
rnacentral:rRNA from 1 species